rnacentral:rRNA from 1 species
CCUACGGGGGGCCGCAGUGGGGAAUAUUGCACAAUGGGCGCAAGCCUGAUGCAGCCAUGCCGCGUGUGUGAAGAAGGCCUUCGGGUUGUAAAGCACUUUCAGCGGGGAGGAAGGCGGUGAGGUUAAUAACCUCAUCGAUCGACGUUACCCGCAGAAGAAGCACCGGCUAACUCCGUGCCAGCAGCCGCGGUAAUACGGAGGGUACAAGCGUUAAUCGGAAUUACUGGGCGUAAAGCGCACGCAGGCGGUCUGUCAAGUCGGAUGUGAAAUCCCCGGGCUCAACCUGGGAACUGCAUUCGAAACUGGCAGGCUAGAGUCUUGUAGAGGGGGGUAGAAUUCCAGGUGUAGCGGUGAAAUGCGUAGAGAUCUGGAGGAAUACCGGUGGCGAAGGCGGCCCCCUGGACAAAGACUGACGCUCAGGUGCGAAAGCGUGGGGAGCAAACAGGAUUAGAUACCCCAGUAGUC